rnacentral:rRNA from 1 species
CGGCGUGCUUAACACAUGCAAGUCGAACGAUGAAGCUCUUCGGAGUGGAUUAGUGGCGAACGGGUGAGUAACACGUGGGCAAUCUGCCCUGUACUUUGGGAUAAGCCUUGGAAACGGGGUCUAAUACCGGAUAUCACAUUCCCUCGCAUGGGGGUUUGUUGAAAGUUCUGGCGGUACAGGAUGAGCCCGCGGCCUAUCAGCUUGUUGGUGGGGUAAUGGCCUACCAAGGCGACGACGGGUAGCCGGCCUGAGAGGGUGACCGGCCACACUGGGACUGAGACACGGCCCAGACUCCUACGGGAGGCAGCAGUGGGGAAUAUUGCACAAUGGGCGAAAGCCUGAUGCAGCGACGCCGCGUGAGGGAUGACGGCCUUCGGGUUGUAAACCUCUUUCGCCAGGGACGAAGCGCAAGUGACGGUACCUGGAUAAGAAGCACCGGCUAACUACGUGCCAGCAGCCGCGGUAAUACGUAGGGUGCAAGCGUUGUCCGGAAUUAUUGGGCGUAAAGAGCUCGUAGGCGGUUUGUCGCGUCGGCUGUGAAAACUGGAGGCUUAACCUUCAGCGUGCAGUCGAUACGGGCAGACUUGAGUUCGGUAGGGGAGAC